UACGGGGGGUGCAAGCGUUAUCCGGAUUCACUGGGUUUAAAGGGUGUGUAGGCGGAUAUUUAAGUCAGUGGUGAAACCUCCAGGCUCAACCUGGAAACUGCCAUUGAUACUAUUUAUCUUGAAUAUCGUUGAGGUAGGCGGAAUAUGUCAUGUAGCGGUGAAAUGCUUAGAGAUGUGGAGGAAUACCGAUGGCGAAGGCAGCCCCCUGGGCUGACACUGACGCUCAGGCACGAAAGCGUGGGGAGCAAACAGG
rnacentral:rRNA from 1 species